rnacentral:rRNA from 1 species
CCUACGGGCGACAGCAGUGAGGAAUAUUGGUCAAUGGUCGAGAGACUGAACCAGCCAAGCCGCGUGAGGGAGGAAGGUACACAGUAUCGUAAACCUCUUUUGUCAGGGAAAAAAACCUGGUACGCGUCCCCUUCUGCCUGUACCUGAAGAAUAAGCAUCGGCUAACUCCGUGCCAGCAGCCGCGGUAAUCCGGAGGAUGCGGGCGUUAUCCGGAUUUAUGGGGUUUAAAGGGUGCGCAGGCGGUCUGGUAAGUCAGCGGUAAAAGCCCGGGGCUCAACCCCAGCCCGCCGUUGAAACUGGCAGGCUUGAGUGCGAGAGAGGUAGGCGGAAUGCGCGGUGUAGCGGUGAAAUGCAUAGAUAUCGCGCAGAACACCGAUGGCGAAGGCAGCUUGCUGGACUGAAACUGACGCUGAGGCUCGAAAGCGUGGGUAUCGAACAGGAUUAGAUACCCGAGUAGUC